rnacentral:rRNA from 1 species
AUUGAACUCUGGCGGCAGGCCUAACACAUGCAAGUCGAGCGGAUGAAGGGAGCUUGCUCCUGGAUUCAGCGGCGGACGGGUGAGUAAUGCCUAGGAAUCUGCCUGGUAGUGGGGGAUAACGUCCGGAAACGGGCGCUAAUACCGCAUACGUCCUGAGGGAGAAAGUGGGGGAUCUUCGGACCUCACGCUAUCAGAUGAGCCUAGGUCGGAUUAGCUAGUUGGUGGGGUAAAGGCCUACCAAGGCGACGAUCCGUAACUGGUCUGAGAGGAUGAUCAGUCACACUGGAACUGAGACACGGUCCAGACUCCUACGGGAGGCAGCAGUGGGGAAUAUUGGACAAUGGGCGAAAGCCUGAUCCAGCCAUGCCGCGUGUGUGAAGAAGGUCUUCGGAUUGUAAAGCACUUUAAGUUGGGAGGAAGGGCAGUAAGUUAAUACCUUGCUGUUUUGACGUUACCAACAGAAUAAGCGCCGGCUAACUUCGUG